CAUGUCCCUUAAAACUUUCAUAUUGAAUUAGCGGGAAACCCUCUCUCGCUAGUGGAAACCGUCCUAUUCUCACUAGAACCUUCUCCCCAUUCUCUCCCUCACUCCCGUAACUCUCUCUCACUCAUGUAACUCUCACUCCCGAUCACUCCCAACGUAAGACCCCGCGAUCUACCGUUCGAGAAACUCCCACUCUCCUCAAACCUGAUCACACCCGAAAUCCCUCUCCCGUUUCACUCUCUCACUUCUGAAAUCCCUCUUCCCAUUUUUAUUCUAGAUCUCACUCCCAAAACCCCUCACGAAACCCCUACCGAUUGACAUUCACCACUCCCUCUCCACAACUGAGCCCCCGUGAAGCAUCUCCUCCUCAAUGACAGCCACAAAAACCCUCGACGACAACUUGGUUGUUAAUUUCUGUGGUUUUUCUCUUCUCCUAACUCUCAUAAUUUUUUGUGGUUGUUAAUUUCUUGCUUAUUUUAUUACUGUUGAGCAUGGUUAUUAUUUUAUUUGUGAUCUGAUGGAGAUUUCUUGAUUAAUUUCUUCCAUGGUUAUUGUUGAUUUCUUUUUUGUUUGAAAAAAUAGUAAGAGAAGAAAAACGGGGACUUUUUCAUUUUGAUGGAGAUUUCUUGAUUUUUUUUUUUUAACAUGGCAGCUGAUGUUGUAGCUAUUACCUUUGCCAUAGAAAUUGGGAGAUGACUACAUAUUGUAGGGCUAUGCAUAUUGAUGAGAUUUCUUGAUUUUGUUUGAACGUGAUUUUUUUGUUUGAACAUGGUAGCUAACGUUAUGCAUAACAGGACAAGAGAACUGUAACAUUGCUGAUAAUGGAUGUAACGAAAUGAUAGAAAUAGAUAGGAAAUAGCACUGCUUUCUUCGAGGUAAAGCUCCUCCAAUACAUAGAGAGAAGAGAAAUAGGGUUUUUUUUUGUAUAUUAACUUUUGUAUAUUAACUUUCAGAUAAUUCCAAACAGGUUCUAGGUGCCAAAUGUAAAUGACUCUCUACUGGGUUAAGAGGCCUUAACAUACGAACUCAACAAUUAAAAGACUCGGGCUCAUGGCCCACUUACACAGAUUGAAUACGUAAAUAACAUCAUAGACCCACUAGGGCCAAUCUUUCAUUGCUUUUAGUUUCUAGGGAUCUAUCCGCACUCCUUCCACAGAUAUGAGAUGGCCCAAAUAGGCUACUUCCUUGCAUCCAAAGUGACAUUUGGAUCGCUUAGCGUAAAUUUUUGUUGUUGCAGUACGUUAAGGGUAACUUAGAGGUGUUGCACAUGUUCCUCCACUGUUUUACUGUACAUAAGAAUAUCAUUAAAAAAAAGUAUGAAUUUUCUCAAAUGGGGCCUAAAUACCUCGUUCAAGAGGCUUUGGAAGGUGGAUGAUGCAUUAGUUAGCCCAAAAGCCAUAACGAAGAAUUCAUAGUGGUUUUCAUGCUUCCUAAAUGCUGUCUUGGGAACAUCUUCUGUUUUAACAAGGAUUUAGUGGUAGCCCGACCUCAAAUCCAACUUUGAAAAAUUUUUUGCUCCAUAUAGUUCAUCCAUAAGCUCUUCCACCAUCAAAAUAGGGUAUUUAUCAUUCAUGGUGACAUUAUUUAGGCCUCGGUAGUCGACACAUAAUCUACACGUACCAUCUGCCUUACAGACUUGCAACACUGGGGAUGAAUAGGAACUUUGACCAGGCUGUAUAACCCCAGUCGAUAGGAGUUCCUGCACUAUUUUUUCAAUCUCUUCCUUUUGGUAAUAGGGGUAUAGAUAGGGCCUUAGGGAGAUGGGCUUGGUUCCGGGUAGUAAGUUUAUGACAUGGUCGUAGGUUCAGGAUGGGGGCAAUCCCUUGGGAUCUAAAAAUACAUCAGUGAAUUGCUAUAACAGUGGUUGUAAAUCUGCUAGAACAGCUUCUAUACCUGCUGAGUUGGUAGGUUUCACCUCUUUAAUCACUUGUAAAAUUAUGCCCCUUUUUUCCAACCCAUCAAGCUUCUUGAAAGUUCUUUCUUUGAUCAUUUUAGCCCCUACCAAUCUUUGCAUGGAGACAUCUUUUCCUAGGAACUGAAAGUCUGAAACUACAUUAUUAACUUUUCAAAGUUCCAUAAAAUUGACCCCAAGUCUCUUAGCCAAUUAAUUCCCAAGACCAUGUCUUAGCCCGCCAUGACCAAUACAUGGACAUCCACAGUGAAAACAAUCCCCUGAAUUAACACUUUGACACCCUUACAUUUCCCUUCACUAGGUAGUAAUUCCCUAUUGGCAACUCUCAUCUUCAACCUCUCAUUGACGUCAAGAGGAAGUUUAUUUCUUUUUAUAACUACUGGGUCCAAAAAAAUGUGAGUAGACCUUGUAUCCACCAAGAUAGUAACCCAUUGGUUGCCAAUUCUUCCCUUCACCCGCAUGGUUCUCAAGUUGUGAGACCCAAUUAGUGCAUGGAGUGAAAUUUCGGGGCUACUUUGGGUGCAGCAAGAUCAGGGGGUGGUGUUUCCUCACCUUGGCCACUAUCACACGGCUUAUCAUCACAAGCCACUGUCAAUUCAUUUUCCAGCAACACGUCCUCCAACAAGUACAACUUAGGCCUUUGGCACUUGUGCCCUAGGUGCCAUUUUGCAUCACAAUAAUAACAUAGUUCCUUCUCCCUCCUAUCUUGCAUUUGUUGUUAGUUAAUUUUAUGUAUGGGUAGGGAUGGUUUUGAAAAUGGUUUGUUGGCAUUUGGUGUUUUAUUAUGGAAAAAUGGUGGCUGGUUGGGAGUUUUGAGGAUACUAGGGUUUGGGGAGUAGUUAAGGCUAAAUCUGGUUGGGUUUUUCGUGGUUGGGUUGAUCUUUUCUUCGAUUUUGGAUAAUCUGUAGGCUGAGGUUAAAUCAUGAGGAGACAUUUUAACAGUCAACUGAAUGUCAUCUCUUAGCCCACUAAUAAAGCAAUUGAGUUUGUAGGGGUCUGUCAAUGCCUUUAAUUUGUUAGCUAAGGUUUCAAACCUUGCUUUGUACUCCUCUAUAGACCCAUUUUGUCUCAGUUUUGCCAGGGCCUCCAUGAGGUCAUCAUAUAAAUUAGGGCAAAAUCUCACUAAUAAGGUCUUAAUAAAAGUGUCCAAAUCAUGAACUUGUCUGGAUUCUUCUAACCCUUGGAACCAAGUGAGGACCUUACCCUCCAUGGGAAAUUAGGCAAGUCUUAGCUUGUAUUGUGGUAGUGUGUUAUGAAAAGUAAAAAACUAAUGCACUUUAUAAAUCCAACCAGUAGGAUCUUGUUGUGCACCGAAAAAUCAAGUCUGAUGGUAUGAGCUUGGAUCUCACCAUAGGGUUGAUAUAGGCCCUGCUCCUUACAGUUCUGAACAUCCGAAGAAGAGUCUCCAUUGUUGUUUUGCCUUUGCAUUUUCGUAGUCAAGCCUGUGAGCUAUUGCAUAACAGUAUCCAACCGCCUUUUCAUGGUUGUCACCUCUAUUUCCAGCACCUUGUUUAUUUUUUUCACAGCAUUAAGACCAUGUUGUAGUUGGUUCAUUCUUGUGCCUUCAGCCGUGUAUGUAAUAUUGAGAUACAGAGAAUUGGUAUCUCUGAUACCACUUGUAACACUACUGAUAAUGGAUGUAACAGAAUGAUAGAAAUAGAUAGGAAAUAGCGUUGCUUUCUUCGAGGGAAACGCCUCCCGUAUGUAGAGAGAAGAGAAAUAGAGUUUUUUUUAUUAACUUUCAGAUAAUUCCAAACAGGUUCCAGGUACCAAAUGUAAAGGACUCUCUACUGGGCCAACAGGCCUUAACAUACGGCUCAACAAUUAAAAGACUCAGGGUCAUGGCCCACUUACACAGACUUAAUAUGUAAAUAACAUCAUAGACCCACUAACACUAAGCCUACACAGGCAAGCCCCUGGCCCAUGAACCCAGCCGUGUAUUUCCCCCUUUGAACACAACAGAACACUUAGAACAACCACUUAACACAGAACACUUAGAGUUCCUUCCUUCUAUCAGUCAUCUUCACAUGGUUUAGGGUUUGACUACCCAGCUCCACCAUGUCGUGCGCUGCACCGCCACUCCUUCCACCAUCUAAGCCGAUGGCCGUUACAAAAUCCUUUGUUUGAUCAUGGUAGCUGAUUUUUUGUUAGUAUAUUUCGUUUAAUAAAUUUAGGUAUUCAUGACCAAAAACUUUGGUGUUGGUUAUUAUAGAAAAACCUUUAACUAAUUCAGAACAUAUUAAAACUUAGGACAGAAAAAUCUUUAACUAAUUCAAGACAGAUAUCGGACACAAAAACAUAACAGAUUUAGGACACUGAAACACAAAGACUGCCACCAUCAACCUUUAACUAAUUCAGGACAUAUUUAAAACCUUUAAUUAAUUAAGUUUCACAUAUUAUGUAUUAGGUUGAUAGAUGAAAAUGUAUGAACUUUUGAUAUACUUUUAUGAACUUAUGUAGUAGCUAUGAAUUUUUUGAUAAAAUUAAGUUUUGACAGAUUAUGAAGUUAAUUUAGAAAGAUAGAUGGAUUUUAUGUAUUUUAAUAUAGAGAUUGUUGGAAAUUAUGAAUAUUAAAAUAAAAAGUAUUUUAAAAAUAACUAAAUAAUGCAUUAAAAAGUAUAUAUAAGAAUUAAAAAAAAUAUAUUAUAUAUUACUACAGAGAGUAAAAUAACUAAUCCAAUUUGAAGUCCAAGUUUAAAGUCAUUAGGCAUAAAGCAAAAAGUGGCAUAUUAGCCAAACUUUACCAAAAACUUUGCCUAAGCCAAUGAGAGUGGUCCCUUUGAGCCCAUCGCUGAGUCAACCCCCUCUUUACACAAGAAUAUAACUCUGUAAGCGUGCCUAUUGGUUUUAAUAUUUAUACAAGUGGCUUUUAUUUUGUUUGUGUAGUUAGAUAAACUUCAUGUAUAUAAGUACAUGAGUUAGCCUUCAUUUGUACAUAUAGUUCUUACAUAAUACAAUAUUACUUCUCUCCUUUUUCUUACUUUCUUGCCUUCUGCUAUUCUGUUAUGGUAUUAGAAAAAAAUUGAAUGAAGCUUUGUCCAUGGGUGUUUUGUCCACUUCUGCUUCACUUUCCUCUGUAGAUGAUGUUUCUAACCCACACUUUUUGCCUCACGAUGAUGCUCCAAGUGCUUAAUUCAUAACUCAACCACUCCCUGACUACAAUUAUUAUACAUGGGAUAGGUCUAUGACUAUGAUACUCAUCGCCAAGAACAAACUUUGUUUUGUUGAUGGCACUCUACCACAACCUUCUAAGAAUGAUCCAUUGUUCCAUUCCCAGAUUCGGUUCGAUACAAUGGUAUUUUCAUGGCUUUUGAACUCUUUAACAAAAGAAAUCGCUGCAAGUGUGAUCUUCAUUGAAUCUGCUGAUAAUGUAAGGAAGGAACAUUGUGAAUGCUUCUCUCAUUGCAACAAUAUUCAGAUCUUUCAACUUCGGAAGGCCAUUUUUAGUUUAACUCAAGAACAGUCCUCUGUCAAUGCUUAUUUUACUCAUCUGAAUGCAAUAUGGAAUGAAAUACAUAAUUAUCACCCUUUUUCAAUGUGUUCUUGUGGUGCUAUGAAAACUGUGGUGGACUUUCACCAACAAGAAUAUGUUCUACAAUAUUUGAUGGGCAUCAAUGAGUCUUUUACUAAUACUCGAGGUCAGAUCUUGUUAUACGAUCCUCUCUCUUCUAUUAACAAAGUCUUUUCACUUGUUGUUCAAGAAGAGAGACAACGUUAGAUUAGUCAAUCUAUUUUUGACAAUUUUGUGCCUGAACCAAUGGAUAUGAUUACACAAUCACAGCCUCUCAAAAUAAGUUCUCUAGAAACAAGGCAAUUAUUGUAGGGUAAGCCUUAUUUUAGCCAUUGUGGGAUCCAGGGUCAUACAAUUGAAAAAUGUUUCCGAAUAUGUUGCUUCUCACCUAGCUUCAAGUUCACCAAGAACAAGCAACUUUCUAACAAAUUUGAACCUCAUUCUACAAAUCAAAUUUCCACUAAUAAUUCUACAACCAGUUAUGGUCCAAUCAUGCCAUUCUCUCAAGAGCAGUCCCAACAUCUUAUUUCUAGGCUUCAAUCUCAAUCUCCUUUACAUAAUAAACCUUCUUUUUUCACCAAAUCAAGUAUCUGCUAAUCAUGUAGGUACUAUUUCUUCAUCUGAGAGUGCCUUAAGUUCAUCUAUUCCUUCUUUCUGAGAACCUCUCAACCUAGAAGACGAUUUAAGUGGGUAAACAAAAUCAAGGUCUUUAUCAUUACUGCAAGAUUCACACCAAACUGUUGAUGAUUCUUCUGUUUCUUUUUCCCAUUGUUAUUCUAGUAAAUCUAUUAAUAAUACCUUUGAACCAUGGCAUCGUAUUGGUAUUUCUACGAUAAUUACCCAAAUAUAAUGUGUUAGGGCUUUGUACCUUAUGUCACCAAUUGGAGCAUGCCUCUUUUCUUGGUGAUCAUUGAACUUUUUUUAUAGCUGGGAGAAGAAGACCAUAUAAUUAUAUAGAGUAAUGAUUUGUAUGCACUUCAAAUACACAAGUUCACAGUCACUUUAUUAAAAAGUGGACGUGACCACUUUACAAAAGUGUAAAAAAAUCUAUUGGUUUUUUAGAAACCUACUUAAAGAAAACGAUGUUUUGUAAUUAUCUCUCCUUUUUUAGAGUGUCUCUAGUUUGUUUUAUUUAUUUUCUUGGAAUAUUACAGCUUACCAUAAUCUAUACAAGGAGGAAGUAAAACAGAGUACAUAUGGCAUGAGUAAAAUUGGAGAGCAGUGCAAGGGUAAAGAGCAUAUAUGUCAUGAUUUAAGGUUGCUGCAUUAGGAAGCUUGGGAGCCGUUGUGUUGUAAUCGUCCACGAUUUUCUUCAAUAAUUGCUACUUGGUUUGUAAACUUUUAACCGUUGGCUUGAGGUUGAUUAUUAUUUUCAAUACCUCCUGCAAACUGAGCUAAUGAAUGAGGUUGAGGUUGGGAGGAUAAAACAAGUAAAGGGUUUUGUGAAAAUAUCGGCAACUUGCGAGGAAGAAUGAACAUGUUGUGUUUGAAGAAGCACGAGUGUAACCCGUUCUCGAACAUAGUGAUAAUCAACUUAAAUAUGUUUACUGUGAGAAUGGAGCACUGGAUUGCAAGGUAGAUAAAGAGCACUAAGAUUGUCACAAAAUAAAGUAGGUGCUUUUGGUAAACUAACACCAAGAUCAUGAAGAAGCAAGGUGAGCCAAGUCAGUUCAGUAAUUGUGUGAGCCAUAGCACAAUAUUCAGCUUCAGUGUUGGAUCUUCAUACUGUACUUUAUUUUUUGCACAUCAAAAGAUGCAUAUGUUGCUAAGAAAGGUAUAGAAACUGAUGGUGGGCAUCCUGCCUAACCAGCGUAAAAAAAGGCAUUUAUUCAAUGUUUUGGAGUGUAAUUCAAUGCUGAA